rnacentral:rRNA from 1 species
UACGGAGGGUGCAAGCGUUGUCCGGAUUUAUUGGGUUUAAAGGGUGCGUAGGCGGUUAAUUAAGUCAGUGGUGAAAUCCUGGAGCUCAACUUCAGAACUGCCAUUGAUACUGGUUGACUUGAGUACAGACGAGGUUGGCGGAAUUGAUGGUGUAGCGGUGAAAUGCAUAGAUACCAGCAAGAACACCGAUUGCGAAGGCAGCUAACUAGGCUGUAACUGACGCUGAGGCACGAAAGUGUGGGGAGCAAACAGG